UACGGGGGGGGCAAGCGUUGUUCGGAAUUACUGGGCGUAAAGGGCGCGUAGGCGGCCUGCUAAGUCGGAUGUGAAAUCCCUCGGCUCAACCGAGGAACUGCAUCCGAUACUGGCGGGCUUGAAUCCGGGAGAGGGAUGUGGAAUUCCAGGUGUAGCGGUGAAAUGCUUAGAUAUCGUCAAGAACACCGAUAGUGUAGACAGCUUACUAGGCUACAACUGACGCUGAGGCACGAAAGUGUGGGGAUCAAACAGG
rnacentral:rRNA from 1 species